AUGGCAGAGUUGGAUCCACAAACUUUAAAUGGGCAUAAUGAACAACUCCUCCUCAUGUUGAUGAGAAGGUCGUGGGAGGAAAAAGAAAAGACUCGAGUGAGCUCUAACGUUCCACCUCUCACUCCACUAAAUCAUCUGGCCUCUUUGGUGGGUGGAGCAUCCCCUCUCAGCUCUCUGAGGACUUCCCCAACCCCAGCCUGCAGGAUCAGUGGGAGGCGGAGACUUGCCCCAGGAAGGAGGCCUGUGGUGUCAACAGGGCCACAAGUCAGAUACCUCCACCAGGAAAGGGGAGACAGACAAACAGAAGACCCAGAGGCUGCCACCUGCUUUGAGGACUCCAAGAUGUCACGAGAAGAACAUGCCUGCUCAUCCCGGGAGGAUGAAAGCACCUGAAGCAGACUUGGACCCAAGUCCAGCCCAGCCUAGGUCAGCUGAACCGCGACAACUUGCAGAUACUUGAAUGAAAAGAAAUAAUUACUAUAUGAAGCCACUGAGUUUGGGGGUGAUUUGUUACAUAGCAUUUUCCUGGCUAUAGCUAACUGAUAUAAGCCCCCUUAAUCUUUUCCGGUCUUAAUCUAGCCAUGGGCAUACCAAUACAGAGACGGAGUUGGGGGCGGGGGAAGAAGAAAAGAAAAGCAAAUUUAAUUUUUAAAAAAUGCUUCCAACACUGGAAUGACUGAUUUGACUUUGUUAUGUAAAUCAAGUCCAAUCAUAGCCUUUCAUGUGCUAAAUGAAAACUCAAGGCCCUUAAUGCUAAAAAGCAGCAGCAUAUGGUUAACAAAUAAGAGAG
rnacentral:lncRNA from 1 species